rnacentral:rRNA from 1 species
CAAUAGCGUAUACUAAAGUUGUUGCAGUUAAAAAGCUCGUAGUUGGAUUUCUGGCUCGGCAAGCCUAGCCCGAGGACCUGGUGUCCUUGUGAGCUGGCGCUUGUCGGCCAUCCUUCAGGAGGGUGUUUCUGCCCUUGAUUGGGUUGGGGACAGGAUCCUGAUCGUUUACUUUGAAAAAAUUAGAGUGUUCAAAGCAGGCGUGUGCUGUGAAUACAUUAGCAUGGAAUAAUAAGAUAGGACUUCGGCCCUAUUUUGUUGGUUCUGGAGCUGAGGUAAUGAUUGAUAGGGAUAGUUGGGGGUGCUCGUAUUCAACGGCCAGAGGUGAAAUUCUUGGAUUCGUUGAAGACGAACUUAUGCGAAAGCAUUCACCAAGGAUGUCUUCUUUAA